AUUCUGGUGUCCUAGGCGUAGAGGAACCACACCAAUCCAUCCCGAAUUUGGUGGUUAAACUCUACUGCGGUGACGAUACUGUAGGGGAGGUCCUGCGGCAAAAUAGCUCGAUGCCAGAAUG
rnacentral:rRNA from 1 species